rnacentral:sRNA from 1 species
GCCAGGCAUUUUGGAAGGUGCCUGUAAUCCCAGCUUCUUGGGAGGCUGAGGCAGAAGAAUUGCUUGAACCCAGGAGGCAGGAGGUUGCAGUGAGUGGAGAUCACACCACUGCACCGCAGCCUGGGUGACAGAGCGAGACUCUGUCUCCA